GUCAGGAGGUCAUAACACUGGGGGGUAGGUGUGUCGGGUAUUCUGUGGAUCACCUAUAGGGGAUAUAUAUCGAACCAGUGCAGAAUGAAGAUAACCCUGAUCCUCCAAACACCCUGAUCCUCCAAACACCCUGAUCCUCCAAACGUCUGAGCGCUAGGCUAAGCUAGUAGACUCGUCAUAGCGGCUGCAGAAGAAAGGAGAAGAAAGAAAAACAGCUACUACAACCUGCACAACUAUGCCUACUGACUUGAUUUCUGACGUCGGCUAUGAGAGCGUGAAAAGGCAUCAGGUUCCACGCGCACCAGGUGCUGAUAUUCGGUUGAAUAAUCAAAGAUCGAUACUCGGUGAUCGGACCAAUGUGGGGGCCAGCAGUAGUUAUGUACCUAUCGUGGAUGGUGUGAAACAGUGGACCCCUGGAUCAAACCGUCUAACCAAGAAAAA